rnacentral:rRNA from 1 species
GAUGAACGCUAGCUACAGGCUUAACACAUGCAAGUCGAGGGGUAACGAGAGGGAAGCUUGCUUUCCUUGUCGACGACCGGCGGAUGGGUGAGUAACGCGUAUCCAACCUGCCCUUCAGUAAGGGAUAGCCUUUCGAAAGAAAGAAUAAUACCUUAUGUGAUCGUCUGAUGACAUCAGACGACGAUGAAAGAUUUAUCGCUGAAGGAUGGGGAUGCGUCCCAUUAGGCAGUAGGCGGGGUAACGGCCCACCUAACCUACGAUGGGUAGGGGUUCUGAGAGGAAGGUCCCCCAGAUUGGAACUGAGACACGGUCCAAACUCCUACGGGAGGCAGCAGUGAGGAAUAUUGGUCAAUGGCCGUAAGGCUGAACCAGCCAAGUAGCGUGCAGGAUGACGGCCCUAUGGGUUGUAAACUGCUUUUAAACGGGGAUAAAGUGAGCCACGUGUGGUUUAUUGCAGGUACCGUUUGAAUAAGGACCGGCUAAUUCCGUGCCAGCCGCCGCCGUAA